UACGUAGGCAGCAAGCGUUGUUCGGAGUUACUGGGCGUAAAGGGUGUGUAGGCGGUUGUUUAAGUUUGGUGUGAAAUCUCCCGGCUCAACUGGGAGGGUGCGCCGAAUACUGAAUGACUAGAGUGUGGGAGAGGUGAGUGGAAUUCCUGGUGUAGCGGUGAAAUGCGUAGAUAUCAGGAGGAACACCAGUAGCGAAGGCGGCUCGCUGGGCCACACCUGACGCUGAGACGCGAAAGCUAGGGGAGCGAACCGG
rnacentral:rRNA from 1 species